rnacentral:rRNA from 1 species
AAGAAAGUAAAUAAGGGCGCAUGGCGGAUGCCUUGGCUCUCGGAGGCGAUGAAGGACGUGAUAAGCUGCGAUAAGCUUCGGGUAGGUGCAAAUGACCUUUGAUCCGAAGAUUUCCGAAUGGGACAACCCGGCAUUCUGAAGGAAUGUCAUCCAACCUGGUUGGAGGCUAACGCAGGGAACUGAAACAUCUUAGUACCUGCAGGAAAAGAAAAUAAAUAAUGAUUCCCCUAGUAGUGGCGAGCGAACGGGGAUUAGCCCAAACCACCCAUGUUACGGCAUGUGUGGGGUUGUAGGACCACGCUCUCGCAAGACAGUUAUUGAGAAGAAACGACUGGAAAGUCGUGCCAUAGACGGUGAUAGCCCGGUAUUCUAAGGUAACCGAAGCGUAGUGGUAUCCUGAGUAGCGCGGAGCACGAGGAAUUCUGCGUGAAUCAGCCGGGACCAUCCGGUAAGGCUAAAUACUCCCGAGAGACCGAUAGCGAACCAGUACUGUGAAGGAAAGGUGAAAAGCACUUCGAAUAGAAGAGUGAAAUAGUCCCUGAAACCAUGCGCCUACAAGCGGUCGGAGCAGCUUUAGCUGUGACGGCGUGCCUUUUGCAUAAUGAACCUACGAGUUACUUUUUCCGGCAAGGUUAAGCAUCUUGAGAUGUGGAUCCGAAGCGAAAGCGAGUCUGAACAGGGCGGAUAGUCGGAAGGAGUAGACGCGAAACCAAGUGAUCUACCCUUGGGCAGGUUGAAGGUUAGGUAACACUAACUGGAGGACCGAACCGAUAAGCGUUGAAAAGCUUCCGGAUGACCUGAGGGUGGGGGUGAAAGGCUAAUCAAACUUGGAGAUAGCUCGUACUCCCCGAAAUGCAUUUAGGUGCAGCCUUGAGAGUUACUAAUGUGAGGUAGAGCGACUGAUAAGAUGCGAGGGCUUCACCGCCUAUCAAGUCUUGAUAAACUCCGAAUGCGCAUUAGUUCUAUCUCAGGAGUGAGGGCAUGGGUGCUAAGGUCCAUGUCCUAAAGGAGAAGAAUCCAGACCAUCAGCUAAGGUCCCCAAAUAAACACUAAGUUGAACUAACGAAGUCAGAUUGCUAAGACAGCUAGGAUGUUGGCUUGGAAGCAGCCAUUCAUUUAAAGAGUGCGUAACAGCUCACUAGUCGAGGAGUUUGGCGUGGAUAAUAAUCGGGCAUUAAGUGUUUUACCGAAGCUAUGGGAUACGUAAGUAUCGGUAGGGGAGCAUUCCACUCAGCGUUGAAGGCGAAGCGUGAGCUUUACUGGAGCGUGUGGAAAAGCAAAUGUAGGUAUAAGUAACGAUAAAGGGGGUGAGAAACCCCCUCGCCGCAAGACUAAGGUUUCCUGAUCAACGCUAAUCGGAUCAGGGUUAGUCGGGUCCUAAGGCUCAGCCGAACGGUGAGGCCGAUGGCAGAACAGGUUAAUAUUCCUGUACUACCUAUA